AUUUCUUCAACUUAUUUGGUUUAAUUUUUGACUGAUUUUGGAUACUACAUUAUCGACGAGGCAAAUUCAUUGCUGCCAGACUGAAGGAAACUUACAAGAAAGUAAGAUAAGAUUUUGGGCGGGAUAUGUGCAGAAUAGAGGGAGAAAAGAGUGAAUUUGAAGGCAGAGAGAGGAAGAGAAGGAGGUGGGGAUUGAACGUAAUGGGAUUCAAAGCAGCUGCUUUAGGUGAUAGUCGUGUGGAGAAACUGAAAAGUUCUAUGAUGUCGCGGUCUAGAAUGAAGUUAUGGAUGAUAAGGGCAACAACUUCGAUUUUGUUGUGGACUUGUGUGGUUCAAUUGAUGACUUUAGGGGAGACUUGGGGUCCUAGAGUUUUGAAGGGGUGGCCUUCUUGUUUCUCACAGGAAUCUACUGCUGCAUUUGCUCUCCAAUCGUCGCUGGAGGUCCCUGCCAGAGUUCUUCCACCUAAGAGGGUUUACAAGAAUAAUGGUUACCUUAUGGUUUCAUGCAAUGGAGGGCUGAAUCAAAUGAGGUCUGCGAUAUGUGAUAUGGUUGCCAUAGCAAGAUAUUUGAAUGUGACUCUCAUAGUUCCUGAGCUGGACAAAACCUCGUUUUGGGCUGAUCCAAGUGAAUUUCAAGAUAUUUUUGAUGUUGAUCAUUUUAUAACAUCCUUGAGGGAUGAAGUUCGAAUAUUGAAAGAGCUACCCCCAAGACUGAAGAGGAGAGUACUGCUAGGAAUGAUUUAUACCAUGCCUCCUAUUAGUUGGUCUGAUAUUUCUUACUAUCAAGAUCAGGUCCUUCCAUUGAUUCGGAAAUAUAAAGUUGUUCACUUGAACAGAACUGAUGCUCGGCUUGCCAAUAACGGUCAGCCUUUUGAAAUUCAGAAACUGCGAUGCCGAGUCAAUUUUAGUGCCUUAAAAUUUACCCCUCAGAUAGAAGAGUUGGGUAAAAAGGUUAUUCGACUUCUCAGGCAAAAGGGUCGUUUUAUGGUGCUGCAUCUGAGGUAUGAAAUGGAUAUGUUAGCUUUCUCUGGCUGUAAUCAGGGCUGCAACAAGGAGGAGGUUGAAGAGUUGACGAGAAUGAGAUACGCUUACCCGUGGUGGAAAGAAAAAAUCAUUAACUCUGAAUUGAAAAGGAGAGAUGGUCUCUGUCCUUUGACACCUGAGGAGACUGCUCUUACUUUAAGGGCAUUAGACAUUGAUUCUAGCAUCCAAGUCUAUAUUGCUGCUGGGGAGAUAUAUGGUGGGACAAGGAGAAUGGCGAGUCUUGCGGCAGCUUAUCCAAAUUUGGUGAGGAAGGAGACACUACUAGAACCUUCCGACCUUAUGUUCUUUCAGAAUCACUCUUCUCAAAUGGCUGCAUUGGACUAUCUUGUUUCAUUGGAGAG
rnacentral:misc_RNA from 1 species